rnacentral:misc_RNA from 1 species
UUUCCGUAGGUGAACCUGCGGAAGGAUCAUUAAUGAGUUGUCAUGGGGUUCGAUGCUGGCAGCCAAUUUUUGGAUGCAUGUGCUUGCCCUAACAAUCAUCUUCCAAACACCUGUGCACAUUUUUGAGGGAGUCUUGAGUUGGUUGCCGCUCUUGGGUGAUUUUCUCACAUUCCCUUAAAUCAUUAUACGCUAUUAACAAUGUUGAACGUGCUCUGUGCCGCAAGGCUAUUAAUAUAAUACAACUUUUAACAACGGAUCUCUUGGCUCUCGCAUUGAUGAAGAACGCAGC